AAAAGGUGGCUAUGCUACCGCUUUUGGAUGGGCCCGCGGCGCAUUAGCUAGUUGGUGGGGUAAAGGCUUACCAAGGCAAUGAUGCGUAGCCGAACUGAGAGGUUGAUCGGCCACAUUGGGACUGAGACACGGCCCAAACUCCUACGGGAGGCAGCAGUAGGGAAUCUUCCACAAUGGGCGAAAGCCUGAUGGAGCAACGCCGCGUGGGUGAAGAAGGUCUUCGGAUCGUAAAACCCUGUUGUUAGAGAAGAAAGUGCGUGAGAGUAACUGUUCACGUUUCGACGGUAUCUAACCAGAAAGCCACGGCUAACUACGUGCCAGCAGCCGCGGUAAUACGUAGGUGGCAAGCGUUAUCCGGAUUUAUUGGGCGUAAAGGGAACGCAGGCGGUCUUUUAAGUCUGAUGUGAAAGCCUUCGGCUUAACCGGAGUAGUGCAUUGGAAACUGGGAGACUUGAGUGCAGAAGAGGAGAGUGGAGCUCCAUGUGUAGCGGUGAAAUGCGUAGAUAUAUGGAAGAACACCAGUGGCGAAAGCGGCUCUCUGGUCUGUAACUGACGCUGAGGUUCGAAAGCGUGGGUAGCAAACAGGAUUAGAUACCCUGGUAGUCCACGCCGUAAACGAUGAAUGCUAAGUGUUGGAGGGUUUCCGCCCUUCA
rnacentral:rRNA from 1 species